UUUGGCCCUCCUUAUUUGUGAUAAAGCUUGUAUAAUUAAUAUAUAGGUGUGUAUGAGUUAUAUAAGUGGUGAACUCAUACUUUUGGAGUCAAAAAACAAAAUAUCUAAAGAGAGAGAGAGGAAACCGUGAAAGGGAGAGAGGGAAGAGUGUCAAUUUUCUCAACAUCCAUGGAGGCUUUGAAGAUGAUGGAAGAGAAUUGAAGGAAAGAAAGAAGAUCACCCAUGGGACUUGGAGGAAUUGAAGAGAGCUAAGAGAUAGACAAAGAUUGAGUUAGGUCGAGACGAGGACAUCGUCCUAUUACUACCGGGAGCUGAUCACUGUGAGUAGUAGUACAAAAAUGUACAUUUUAUCUACUGUUGACAAUUAUUGUCACUAAUGCUCUGUUCCUUGUAAGUGUUAUACGAACAUUUAUGACAAUUGGAAAGCAAUGUGAACUUAUAUGAACGCUGAAAGCUUCGCGUACGUUGGUAAACAACCAAGUGGUUAAUCCUGAGCCAUGAUGCUCGUUCAUUUUGUCAACCUUUGAGUGCCCAGACUCUAGAUGAAGCCACUCAUAUUUUUGUGAAGUCUUGACAAACUUUUGGCGCUACGCUUUACUUAUUGGCCUAAGGUUGAAAUGUGUAUAAUACUUUCUUCCGAAAUGUUUUUGAUGUAUGCCCAAUUAUAGAGCUGGGCUUGUAUAUAUGUGCGUAUA